AUGGGGGGCGUCGGCGUCUCCCUUGCGCUGCUCGUCGCCGUCGUCCUCUCCGCCGUCGCUGCUGCCCCGCAGCUAGCCGGCACAGCCAAGGCAGAGCAUUCCCUAGGAAUCAUCCAGAAGGACAUCAUUCAGACGGUCAACAAGCAUCCCAAUGCCGGGUGGACGGCUGGACACAACCCCUACUUUGCAAACUACACUAUUGAGCAAUUCAAGCAUAUCCUGGGAGUGAAGCCAACGCCUCCGGGUUUGCUCGCUGGUGUUCCGAUCAAAAUUCAUCCAGAAAUGGAUCUCCCCAAGGAGUUUGACGCUAGAACUCAAUGGUCCAGUUGCAGCACAAUUGGGAACAUACUUGAUCAAGGUCACUGUGGUGCCUGUUGGGCCUUUGCUGCCGUGGAAGCUCUCCAGGAUCGUUUCUGUAUUCAUCUCAACAUGAGCGUCUCCCUUUCGGUCAAUGACCUACUGGCUUGCUGUGGUUUUCUGUGUGGUAGCGGUUGUAAUGGAGGAUAUCCUAUCAGCGCAUGGCGCUACUUCCGUCGCAGUGGCGUCGUCACUGAGGAGUGCGAUCCAUACUUCGAUCAGACUGGUUGCCAGCAUCCUGGAUGCGAGCCAGCUUAUCCUACACCAAAAUGUCAAAGGAAAUGCAAGGUGGAGAACCAAGCGUGGAAGGAAAAUAAGCAUUUCAGUGUUAACGCGUACAGAGUACAUUCUAAUCCCCAUGACAUCAUGGCAGAGGUCUACAAAAAUGGCCCUGUAGAAGUUGCUUUCACCGUUUAUGAGGACUUCGCACACUACAAAUCAGGAGUAUACAAGCACAUCACAGGUGGCGUGAUGGGAGGUCAUGCCGUCAAGUUGAUCGGUUGGGGAACCAGUGAUGCUGGCGAGGAUUACUGGCUUCUUGCAAAUCAGUGGAACAGAGGCUGGGGUGAUGACGGAUACUUCAAGAUCAUAAGGGGCGAGAAUGAAUGUGGCAUCGAAGGCGAUGUUACUGCCGGUAUGCCCUCGACAAAGAACACGGCCAGAAACAAUGAUGUCGCCUUUGGAACGGCCAUACUUUGA
rnacentral:rRNA from 1 species